GACGAACGCUGGCGGCGUGCUUAACACAUGCAAGUCGAACGGAAAGGCCCUGCUUUUGUGGGGUGCUCGAGUGGCGAACGGGUGAGUAACACGUGAGUAACCUGCCCUUGACUUUGGGAUAACUUCAGGAAACUGGGGCUAAUACCGGAUAGGAGCUCCUGCUGCAUGGUGGGGGUUGGAAAGUUUCGGCGGUUGGGGAUGGACUCGCGGCUUAUCAGCUUGUUGGUGGGGUAGUGGCUUACCAAGGCUUUGACGGGUAGCCGGCCUGAGAGGGUGACCGGGCACAUUGGGACUGAGGUAGGGCCCAGACUCCAACGGGAGGCAGCAGUGGGGAAUAUUGCACAAUGGGCGGAAGCCUGAUGCAGAAACGCCGCGUGCGGGAUGACGGCCUUCGGGUUGUAAACCGCUUUCGCCUGUGACGAAGCGUGAGUGACGGUAAUGGGUAAAGAAGCACCGGCUAACUACGUG
rnacentral:rRNA from 1 species